CGGGGUGUAGCGCAGCUUGGUAGCGCAUCCGCUUUGGGAGCGGAGGGUCGCAGGUUCAAAUCCUGUCACCCCGA
rfam:Rhodococcus jostii RHA1, complete genome.